rnacentral:misc_RNA from 1 species
GCAGGGGCGGUGCUUUACAUAAAGAGGGAAUUUAAAUUGGAGAGUGAGCCGACGAUUGAGGGGCUGAUCGUGGCAAUGUCGCUGAUCGGGGCGACGGUGAUCACGACGUUCUCGGGGGCGGUUGCUGAUUGGGUCGGGCGGCGACCUUUGCUGAUUGUGUCGUCGGUGUUCUAUUUUAUUAGCGGACUGGUGAUGUUGUGGUCUCCGAAUGUGUAUAUGUUACUGCUGGCAAGGUUGAUUGAU